GAAGGAAUGAUGCAUUUGCCAAAACUCAUACAUCUCCGGUUUUGAUCUGCAGAUGAACAUUUGUUUUCAUUGUAGUUCUUGCUAAUACCAGAAACGCACGCAUGUGCCUGACAGCUAAUUGAAAAUUAGUGACGCACGCAUGUGCCUGAAAGCUAAUUGAAAAUUUUCUCCAACAAGUUAGAAAAAAAAAAUAAUAUCUUCAUCACUAUCUUAACCAGGGAAGAAAUAAUUCACAUUAUUCAAUGAAUCAAUCACAAAUGCCCACUUCCAAGUAAACAAAUCACUAUCCUCUCUCAAUUUUAUCUGUUUAACCAAAAGCCAACUCUCAUAAUCAAGCAAUUGCUAAGAGCAUGAAACUCAAUCAACUUGCAAUCACUUUCAAAAUUAACGUUCAAUUAAAAGAGACUCGAAAAGGGCAUGCAACUUGAGAAUGGUAGUAUCAACACUUAUGUAAUGCACAGAGUAUUAAUAGCAUGGAUGCAUGAGAUCACCUCUAAAUAUCCAAUUACUACGAUCCUUCUUUUAACAUCUAAACCUCUAUUUGAUGUCUGAUACAAUCACUCAUCAGGUUUAUAAAUAUCUGACCCAGAGCACUAGAAAACAUAAAGCCUCACAAAAUUUACCAUUUUCCUGACAUUCACAGAUAAUUAAAAUAGCAUGAACUAAGCUACCAACUCCAAUAAGCUCAGUUUACUCUCCAACACAGUGACUAUUGAAAUUAUAAAUAUCCAACCUGAAACAAUAGAAAGAACAAACCUUUUUUUUAUAUUCACUAGUUAAAUUCAACAACAUGAACAUCACAAAAAGCCAAUCGGCAAUACCCCUUUCACAAAAGGCCAAAAAGCAAUCAAGUUCAAAUCGUUCCAGACAAUCAAAAUCUAAAUACAUUUGACAGUAGUGCCAAAAUAAAGUUACAAGUAUUAACACCCCUUGAAGCAAAAUAACAAUUGCAACAAUCUAACCGUUAGUUACUACCCUUUUAGUACAAUCCCAAAACUCAAUCAGUUUACUAAUUAUUGCUAUUAAAAUUUACUACUUCCAAUCAAUUCGAUCAACGUACACAAUCAAAAUUCAAACUUUUUGGUCAAGAUAUUGAGAAAGUGGAAAGAAAUAUAAUAAUUAAAUAAAAACAAAAGCAUUAGCAGGUAUGCAUCCAUCCAUCUGAGCAGGGAAAGAGAGAGAGCACGGAUUCGAGGAAAGAGACAGCGAGUGGAGUUCCAGUCAAGAGCUG
rnacentral:misc_RNA from 1 species